GGCGGAGAGCGGAGAUGGAGCGCGCCUUGGCCGCGCUGGCCUCGGCCGCAGCUCCUCGGGAGAACCGGGGCGCCCACGCGAGAAUCUCCCCACCUGGGUGUCUUCAGGGAUGACAUCAUCCGUUCACCUCCUUGUCUUCAAGGACCACCUCUCGAUGCCACGCUGCUGCCAAGGUGCUUGCUGCUCACCUCCACCUGAUGAGGACAGUAGGAGCUCCGACCCCUGGAUGGCACCAGUAUACCAAGCAGCCACUGGCAGAGACCCCCCCCCCCGCCCCGGGGACGAGGAUGACGAAGGAUGAAGAGGACCAGAACCAACCAGCCAGCUCUCCCUCUUGGCUGAAUGCUUAAACCAAUGCCCUAGUGAGGGGGCAUUGGUCAUUAACCCUUGACCUUUGCUAUGCUUAUGCCUUGAUGCUAUGAAUACUUUCCUAUAAGUCUUUGCUUGUGUUUAUGUGCCAGCGACCUGGAGUGUUUCCCUCCCCAACCAGUUGUCAGUCUUUCUCCCAUGACAACCCUGUGGUUGCCCGUAUGAUGGCCUGAACGGAAGGAUCCCUUUGGGAACUUCUCAGGAGGGGGACCUGGGCCAAGGGCUUGACCAGCAUCUCACUGGCAAUUCCAAGGCCCAGGGUGGGCUUCUGGAAUGAGCAUGAGCCCCGAUGCCAUGCUACCGAACUGCCAAGGGCAUCCCUACCUCUUCUGAGAUCUCCCUGUCCUUUCUGGGGAAUGGGGACAAGAAGAGCAGCCUCCCAGGGUUGUUGUGAGUAUUGAAUGAGAUAAAACUGCCUCAGGCAGGGCUGGGCAUAGAGGAGGUGGUAAGCAAAUGUCUGUUGAAAAAGUUGCGUAGGUCAGUCCCUUCCCACCCCUGUCACCCUUGUCUCAUGCUUCUCGUUUAUUCUCCCACAGCGCUCCAGGCAGCCCUUGUCCGCGGGGCUCUCCUUCAAGCAGGUAGGGGUCACCAAGAUGGGCGUUGGGCUGACCUGAGUAGGAACAUGAAUCGUGCAUGUGGUCAUUUCCAGAGCACUUUCUGUGUUCUACAGGCGUCUUAUUUCCAUGUCGUACGUACACACGAACAAAGCAGCCUCAUUUACAGAUGAGAAAGGGUUCAACAUUGAUUUGAGGGAUUUUAAAAGGUUCGGGGGUAGGGGGAGGAGGAUGUUAGGAGAAGCAAGUGCCCUUCCCGUGGCAUGGGACACGUUCACAUUCACAGCAGGGGCGCUGAGGUUGGAGGAGUGUAAGUGUUUGGUCGCAUUGUUGGCAAGAGAAGGGGUCAGAGUUGGACCCUAGUGCCCUUGUGGCUGCACCGUACCCUCUUGGCCCAGAGUUCUACUAAGAGCCCUUUGAUUUCCAAUCAGACAUUUGACAGUGGGAUAAUCUGUUUGAAAUCCCAGCUGUGUAGCGUGGUCUCGGGGGUGUGGGUGGCCCCGGCGCUGGUGCCUUGUGCUGGUUCCACCUUUCAACUACGGUGUGACCUUAACCAAGUCACUUAACUUCUCCAAACCCCAGUCCUUUUCAUGGGCUAAAUGGGGAUUAAAAAAAAAAAAAAAAAGCAAGCAGUCCCGUUUACCCCACAGGGAGCUUUUGAAGACCAAAUGAUGUAACCACUAUGAAAGUGCUUUGUAAAUCGCUGUGGAAAUUGCUAGAUACUUAACUCCCGGGGAUCGCGCCUCGAAGUGCACAUGCCCAAGCCUAUUCUCCCUCAGUAAUAACGGCACCCAGUAGGUGCUGUGUGUGUUUGCGCUCAAUAAAUAAAUUCCAGAGUAAAUAAAAGCAGAAUUAAUUCAACAAACAUUUUCUGGAACGCCGACAAUAUGCCCAGCACACCAGGCCUGGUAUGUGAUCCAAAGAUGAUGAAAACAGUCUCCUGGAAGCUAAUUGGGGUCCUCAUUCGACCCGCACUUUCUUUCGUCCCCUUUUAAGCCAACCAGUUUUGUCCGGACAAGACAAAAACAACUCUGGCGCUUUAGAGAAGCCCAGCUCGGUGGAGACAAUAGCUCCCGGGCAUCUGAAAGGGGCUGAUUGGAUUAUGUGGCAAAUAGAAGGUGGAAGGGUGACUUGGAAGGUGACAAAUGAAGUGGGCGGAGAGCUGCUUUGAGUUAAUCCAGGCUAUUAGGAGGGAACCUUUUGUCUUCCAGGGGCUGGCAGGAGCUUUUACCACUGGUUUUUACAUCCUUAAUGUAAGGACGCAUAAUUUAUGGUCAGUGAAAAUCCAGGCCCCGGUGAGAUUUGAGUGGGCUGUAAAAUUGAGCGUCCUGCUACCAGUGAGUAAUUAUAGUGAACAUUUAUGUCUCCCUUUGCAGUCCGCAAAGGCCUUUUGCAACCAUGGAUUCAUUUGAACCUCACAACUCCCUGUCCCGAUCCCGGGGCUGGCCUGCCACCUCCAAGGGGAAUAGAGGCCAUCAAGCUGCUCUUCCGAUUGGGGUCCCAUGGCACAUUUGCACCCCUGUCACCUCUUGGGUAGCGAAGGAAGAGGUGUCCUCUGCGCCGGUCUGUCCUGUUUCAGACCUGUUCCUCCCACCACUAGUUCUUCCCUCUCGAUUCCUAACUUUGCUCUCUCCUCAGCCAGGAGCCUCUCAGGCCCCGCCGCCCCCUUUCCCAGCCACUACAGCCUGUCUCUUUCCUUUCGCAGCCAAGCUUCUCGAAAGGCCUGUCUACACUUGCUGUCUUCCUUCCUCAUCUCCAAUUUCCUCUUCAACCCACUGCUUCCUGACUUGUUCUGCUCCGUUGAACGACUCUAACUCAGGUAAUGACUUUUCUGUAGCUUAACUCUGGACACGUUUCCAGCACAUGGACACAGACACAUGAGGACACAUGGACACAUUUUCAUUCUUUGCCCUCACAUGGCUUUCGGCUCUGGAUUCCUCCUGUUGACCCCUGCUCCCCAGAUGCUUCACAGAAUCACCUACUCCUGGCUUCCCUCAUUCUUGGUUUCUCCCAGGCGCUGGAGCAUCCAUAGCUCUUCUCUCUGGGAGUCGACUUCUUACCAUCUUGCCAGGUUUGAGGCCUGGCUAAAUCACCUGGUGUUGAGGCCUUGGGGUUAGUCAGUUUUGCCAAGCCACUCUUUUCUCAGUUAUGGAAUAGGGUUAAUGAUCUUUACCUGGCAGGUCAGGUGGGAUGUGUUGCAGGUAAGAACCAGACACUACCUGAGGGACUUGAAAUAAGGUCAGUAAAGUGUUCGUGAGAAAAUCGGAGUCCCCAUCAGCUUUUCCUACAGGUUAAGUUCCCACGGGGAGAACCAAAGAGGGAAGAAAGAUGUGGGCGUGGGGGGAGGGGAGCAACAGAGAAAGAAAAAAAGAAAAAGACCAGUAGGAAAAGACACUAGAGGCACCAAAAGGUGGGGAAGGGAGCCUUAGAGAAUAUUAAAAUCUACGAAAACCCAACCAGAGAAAGGUUUCCUCUUGGGUCGGGCUGAAAGAAAGUAAACAGGAAAAAGAUGUUAAAUUGAUUAUUCCAGUGACAAAUCCCAGGAAGCUUUCAAAUCAAAUUGCCCCAUUUUGGGUUUUUAACUCCUUCUAUCAAGUUUAACCUCUUUACCUCCUGCAUCCUGGCUAAACCCUCCCCAGCCCCCCUCACUGGUGAUUAAGUCCUGAAGGUGCACGCAGCCUUUCAGCGAAUGAAUGGCCAACAGAAAGCGCCCUCCCCCUCCCCCGCCAGCUGUGGUUUUCAGUUUUAUUCCACUUUCCGCCCUUUCCCCUUAAUGAACACAGGGCUAAUCUUGGGCCUUGUCAAGGAAGAGGCUGCAGACGUUAAUGAGGUAGCUGCUGGAUUCCAAUAUUCGUCUCAUAAGGAGCCCUUCUUUGUCUGUGAAGGAAAAACACACUGAUUAUCAUAAUGAGGUGAACUGGCGUCCGCAGGCAGGGGCGACCAGGGGCGACUGGUGCUUAGGCCACACUUCUAAUUCUGGUGCUGGAGCCCGGGUUUCAUUUGCUCUUCAUUUAAGUCUUUGCCUCUGUCCCAGCGUGGGGUCCAUUGAGCAGGGUUGAAAGUUGAAGGCUGCUUUGGGAAGCGGGCCGCAGAUAGGGCUGCUUGGCAGAAAGUUCCUUUGUUCGACCCUACUACACACAGUUGUCCCCGUGGUCCGGGAGCUUCAUGCCUCCUGGACUCAUUCUCCCAAAAAGCCUGGGAAUGGGGGUGCACAUUCACUACCGGAGCAUGCACCUGACCUGUUUGAGGACUCCCCCGAUCAUUAAAACUUAACAUUAUGUGUAGAACCCAUGGGAUUAUCCCAAGGCCAACACCCAUGGAAGGUCCCAUCCUGGUCAAGAAAUAGAUGAGUCUGGGGGCCCCAGAGGCCCCCCCCACCCAUGGGACAGCAAGGUUCGUGGUUCACAUUUGGCUUCCACAUACUGCUGAGCGUGAGAUUCAGAGGGCCAGAGGUUUGUCAGGAUCACUUGGUGAGCCAAGUGCACAGAAGGGACAUGACAACUCAGAUCUGGCAUCAGAACCAAUAGUCCCUGCUUUGACCCUCUUAAUCUCUCUCGCCCCUGUGUGUCCUGUGCCCCAACGGAAUGCCUCCUCCCCCUGCCCCCAAGCUCUGUCCUGAUCUUUGAAUUCUUCAGAGCCCAUCCACAUCUUUAGAGGAGGCAUCCCCCCGCCCCCUCGAAACCCGUCUUGUGUCCCAAGACCUGGGCUUCUCUCACCCCAAGGCCACUCAGUCAAGAUUAGCUCACUCCCAGUGAAUUCUCAGACUCUAGCCAGACCUUCAGCCAAAUGGAAAACUAAGGGAGAAGUGGGGUGAUGGGAGCAAGGGGAGGAGGCCCUCGGAGUUCUCUGUUGGCUAAAGGUCUCGGGCAUCACGGAUCGGAAUUAGCUUGCACUUUUAAAAUCCGCAAACCCAACUAGGCGCCUUAAUUGUCGAAGGAUGUCUGGGUGAUCCAGAUGUUGCCUGGAUGAGGGCACCGGGUGAGGAUGAGCACCUCUGAAAAUGGAGAUCCCUCAAACCUCCCCCGCUCUGCGGUUAUUGGAGAGUAAUAAAAUAGAGCCGUUCCUGGUGUUUCUAAAUGAGAGGACUUAAUUUGAAUAGGAAGUUAACUACGGGCCUUUUCCCGAAUAUAUAGCAGUAAUUACAAUACAAGCCCCUGAGUCCUUAAUACACCAGCAUCUGAGAACCUGGGAAGGGUGUGGAAGGCAUUAGUGGGUCAGGAUCUUGGGGGGGUUUUGUACUCUGCUGGCACCUGAGUGCCUGGCAUUGACAAAACUCCUCUCCCCUAACUCUGCUCCUGUUGGAUUUCUGGAAACUAGGCAGUCAGGCCUCUUAAGUUUUUCUGAGGCCACCAGCAGAGGGGUCUGAGCUAAUUGCUCCCUUGAGUGUAGGGGUGGCCCAAAGUUUUCACUUGUCCUCUUGUGUCUGCCGUCUAUGUCUGGGAAGGACACCACUCUGCUCCCCGUGCACACAGGACCCCACCCUUCCAGCCCAGGAGUCCAGUCUGGCUUCCUGUGUGAGCCCCCCCAGUCCCCAGAACCCGUAGGUCUCACCACCCUGCAUUAAAUGGAUCCCGGAGGCCCUAGAGCUCUAGGAAAAAGUGGCUUCACCAGGUGGGAGAGCAGAGAAUGCGAGAGGCCAGGAGACGCCCCCAUCCCACAAUUCUGCAUUUCUGUUUUUCUGCUUUUACUGCCCACCUCUGUUCUCCACUCCCUUCUUCCUCUCUUCCCUUCAUCACCGUUUCCUGAUCCGGUCCUCUGGGGGUGCCCUAGGCCAGCCCACGCCUCCUCUGGGUGCCCCAGCCUCAGCCUGGCACAAAAGUGGGGUUCAGUAAGAGUAUGUGGGAUGUCUGUUUGGACAGGUGAGUCAAUGAAGGAACCGCCAUACUUGUGAUGCUAGAUGGGAGUCUUUGGGAACCGAGGAGUUUUAGGCAAACGGGUGGAAGGUGGAUUUCAUUUCACUGAGGGGGAGUGGGCAUCGCCCCACCCCCAGCCCCAUUUCUGCUGGGCUUUGCUGGUCCUGCCCCUUCAUUCACUCAGGCGUCCAUCCCGUCAUCCAACAGUUGAUCCUUACUGAGCGAAACCCCUGGUCCGGCCCCGGCUUGGCCCCGCUUCCCUUAGCGCGUCCCUUGAUGGUCUCUGCCUCCCCAGGAGGGCCGGCCGGGGGGUUGCUUCUGCUGAGGCCGGCCUCGGGCUGCCUCAGGCGCUGGAGCAGUGGCCUCCGGCUCUGGAGAAGGCCGGCAGAAGGGUGUGAGGGGUAGGCCCUGGUCUGCCUGUCUGGGGCCAGUUGGCCCCCCGCGACCUUUAAGCCCUGGAGGACACUUGAACCCGCCCAGCUCCAGGGCUGUGCCCCCCUCCUGCCCUCUCUGCCUCCCACCCCCCGUCCCGUAGCUGAGUGCUGAUGGCUGCCCUGACCCCUGCCUGCAGCUCAGGACUGAGGUGGGAGCACGGGGACAGCUGUGGUGUGUGUGCCCCUCCGGCUCCGGCCACUCGGGUCUCCCUCUUGAGUUGGGGUCUGCGAGUUGGACCUCUCCCUCCGUGAUGCCUUCCUGCCCCUGGGGCUAAAUCUAGCCCCUGUGCAGCCCAGGUGUUGGCUGGGAACCUCCAGGGAGCUCUGCAGGCUCUUGCCUCUGCCUGGUUGCCUACCUGUUCCGCUCUGUCUGGUGGCCAGCUUGACCCACCUGGAGCUCUGCUUGCCACAGUCUGUCUGUCGCCUGGCCUGACCCACUUGGCCCUUCUCUGUGACCCAAUCACGGGGCUCGGGACCCUCUGGGCCUCAGCUGUCCAGCCCUCUGCCUAGCAGGUUGAUUUUCCUUGCUGAGCCCACACCUGUGGCUACCUGGCCCUGUCGGCUUCCUCGUCCACCUUCUGCCUGCUUGUCUCUUGGCCUCUUAUUGGUCCUAACUACCCCUUCCCCGGCCUAAGGAGCCCCUUCAAGCCCUAUGCGGCCCAAGAACCAGUCCCCGGUGCCCCUGGGACAGGUUCCUGCUGGCAUGCCACCUCCUCCAACCAUCAGAUGCCUCCUCCCUUGGGGGGGCGGGUGGGCGGGCGAAGGGAGGGUUGGAAUGACCAGACUUCUAUCCUGGCUCCCCCCCCACCACCCCAGUUCUCUUGUCUCGUCCACUGGGUGUUAGCCACAGCCUGUCCCCAGGCCUCACGGCUGGUUUGGGGGCUGCCACCUAGGCCCGUUGCUUCUCCUUCAUGUCACUGCUCAUCUCCACGAACCACCCUCCACCGAAAACCGUGCUGCAGGUCAGCCUUGUCCUCGGCACACUGGCCGUGACCUGGCUGGGUCGGCUGAAGAACCGGAUGGAAGAGGCAGAAAGAAGCCCCCGGAGGAGCGCCGCCCUGCACCACCCAGCCUUCCUUGCUGAUGGUCACCUGGCAUCUCAGCCCUGUGCCUCUUCACUUCUUCCUGCUUUGGGUUGGAAGACGCCAUCUGGAAUCCUCCGUGGAAGGAGAGACCUGGACGCACGACUCAGCACCCUCCAGCUUUCAAAUCCCUCCGCAGCCACAGGGACACCCUGCACACGUUCCCGCGGGACAGGCCGGACCCAAAGACUCUGGACCAGGGCCGCCCCCUGCGAGGAGGGGCAUGCCCUCCCGGCCUCUCCUUGCAUAGCCACCCGCCCUCUGACUGAUGGACUACACUGAUCUGAGGCUCAGACACGUGGGCUGGACCCCUACCCACCCCUCACGAACCCUGAGACUUGGGGGAGCCACCGAGCCUUCACUGUCCACACCUGAGAAGUGGGCUCGGACAACCUACCUCACAGGGUUGUUGUGAGGAGCGAGUGAUGCGGUUUGAAAGCGCCUGACUUGGGGCUUGGCACACCCUCUUGUGCUCUCAAUAAAUGUGUUUCUUGCCUUAACAAAAACA